ACCCAUGACAAUAGUGUUUGGUUUAAAGAAAUGCCAAAAAACCAGAGCAUGUUUUUCUCCCGUCCCGGAAUGCUGUGUGGACUAGCCAGACUUUCCUACGCAGCGCCGUGGAGGUAGGUCAGGCAAACCGAGACUAACUGUAGGUAUAU